AUUGAACGCUGGCGGCAGGCCUAACACAUGCAAGUCGAACGAUUGGCGGACGGGUGAGUAAUGUCUGGGAAACUGCCUGAUGGAGGGGGAUACCUCCUGGAAACGGUAGCUAAUACCGCAUACCAUCGGAUGUGCCCAUAUUGGAUUGGCUAGUAGGUGGGGUAAAGGCUCACCUAGGCGACGAUCCCUAGCUGGUCUGAGAGGAUGACCAGCCACACUGGAACGGAGACACGGUCCAGACUCCUACGGGAGGCAGCAGUGGGGAAGAUUGCACAAUGGGCGCAAGCCUGAUGCAGCCAUGCCGCGUGUAUGAAGAAGGCCUGCGGGUUGUAAAGUACUUUCAGCGGGGAGGCGUUAACCGCAGAAGAAGCACCGGCUAACUCCGUGCCAGCAGCCGCGGUAAUAC
rnacentral:rRNA from 1 species